UUUGGGGGGGGGGGGGGGGGGAUAGGGGUUAGGCACUGGAGAAAGGCAAUGAAAUGAACUCUUGCCCACCUAAAGGUUACACCUGCCUUAUAGACCUUACACUCUUACUUAAGACAAGAGAGAACAUGUAAGUGUUUUUGUAACACCGUGGCAAAGCCAGUCCUGAUUACAAGAUGAGCCCCACCUGACAGGAACCAGGUGAUUCCAAUGCAAAAGGAGCAAGAAGUUGUAGUGAAGGGGGGAAACCCAGGAAACUUCAGCUAUGUCUGUAAGCUCUGCAGGGAAUAAAAAGACUCCUGCAGGACCCUGAGUCAGCAGGGGAGACGCUCAGGAGCUAGUGAGGAAAGCUGGAGGCAGGGAGGCUUGUGAGAGAGCCGACUUAAGUAGGGGAGAAACUAUGUAAACUCAUCUGGAAAGGCCUGUGGAGAAGGACAAACUCCAGGCAAAAAGGGCUAGGAAACAGACAGUUGCUCAGAAAGGUGGGGCUUUGCCUAGGAGAAACUGGAAGAAGAUUGUACAGCUAAGCAGGACUCAAGUUUCACUAUCUAACCUGGGAUCCAAAAGGAAGUUCUUUGGAAAAGGGACACAGCCCCAAGAUCAGAGCUGAUUGACUUCAACACCCUGCCAAUUACACCAUGCAGAAGCUGGAGUCCCUGGAUGACCUGAUCCUGACUGGCCAGCAGGAAAAGUUCAUCUACCUUGUUUGGAGUGGGCCUGCUGCCUCAGUCCUUAUCAGAAGAGGAGAGUGAGAAUCCACUCCGGGCUGCAGAUUUCUCGGAGCACUGAGCUUUCCAAAUCAUCACCGCAGUCUGCUCACUUCCUAUGGAGUUUAUUUUCCAUUGCAGUAGACUUGGAUGAACAAUCUGCACCUGGAAAAAAUGGACAGAUACUGUAUGAUAUGGUGAGAAAGGAAAAACCAUAUAGAACAAUCCUGGGACAAUUCACCUCACUACAGAUAGUGCUGAUUUUUUUUUUUUUUUCCUUUGGAGUAAUAAAAUAGGCAUGGGCCUAAGCCACGAAGUUCACAUCUAGCGUCCGAUUCAAAGUCACAGGUUGAACAUCUUAAACCUAGAAUUUCUAGAAUUUUUUUUUUAAGCCAGCAUUUGGCAUCAGCAUUACAAGUGAUGUUGCCAGAUUAAUUGUUUAGGGCCUGAUUCUUUCCUCCAUUUCCGUGAGUAGGAGGGACAAAGAUCGGGCAUAUCUGGCGAGGCUGGACAGGAUGACAGAAGUGGCAGAAUGCCAGUUCCAAACCAUCUCCCUCUGCCCCAGCUUGCUGAGACCCUACAAAAAGCUCCUUUGCUGGAAUGCUGGGAGCUUGAGACUCAAGGUUUUCAGAGCUUUGUAGCAGCCACUGCCUGUGACACCCCCACACGCUUAUUGGUAGCAAGUAUCCUUGCCUAAAUUAAUGGUGCUAGAAGCAACAUUAACUUAAGCUCAUUGCCUGCACUCCCACAGAGAGAUCUUUUCUCCACAAAUACUGAAUGGGCACUCAAUGUUGACGUGGUUCCUGAAAAAGCCAGGUUGCCAGAGCACUAGAAGGGGGGCUGACCUGCUAGGGACUAGAACACCUCUUCUGUGCAGAUCCCUUGACUCCAUUUGGUUUGGAGGCUGCACGCAGUACUUUCUUCAGGGCCCAUGUUACUUAAACUGCCAGCAGGAGGAAGAGUGAGUUGAUAUUUGACUACCCGAGCUUGGCGAAUAUGUUCAACGUUUUGAAAUUUUAACAAACUUUUUACAAAAAGUCCGUAAUUUUUUGUGGCAUUUUUUUAACCAUCUGUUACAGUGUUCAACGUUGUUCAAAAAUUCAAAAUUUCAGUGAAAAAUAAAUGACAAACAAACAAUAAAAAUAUUUUGCAUUCUUCCACCAGCACUACUGACCUAUUUUUUUUUUUAUUUUAUUUUUUGGUGACCUAACUGAAUACAUGGCCACAAAAGAAACUUUUUAUAUAUAUAUAUAGUUAUUGCUCUGGCAAAUACUCUGGAGAUUUCAUCUAUACUUCCCUGAGCCUUAACACUCUGACUACUUGAGGAUCUCUUUUAUGAGUUCUGGUAAUUCUUUAGACAUGAAUCUGACUUGAAUUUAUUUAGAAGCAUCCCAAGAAAUGUUUUCUCCCUGUCUCCAGGAUUGGUAUAUUUUUGUCUUUAUAUUUGUACGUGUUUUACUAGAUCCCUCAAGUCCUAGUCCCAAAUGUUUUUACUUUGGUUUUACUACAUUAGAAGGUAUAGAAGUGAGAGAGCUCAUGGAUUUAGGGAUGUAUAUGUUGUAUCAUUUAUUUGUGGUAUUUUUCUUUUGAAAAUCAAUCUUAAAAUGUUAACUUACUCUAAUAACCAUAAGAAAUAUGUGCAUUGUAUUUGCAGCUAGACAGAAGCGAUAUAGUGUGACCUCAAA